rnacentral:rRNA from 1 species
UGGGGAAUAUUGCACAAUGGGCGCAAGCCUGAUGCAGCCAUGCCGCGUGUAUGAAGAAGGCCUUCGGGUUGUAAAGUACUUUCAGCGGGGAGGAAGGGAGUAAAGUUAAUACCUUUGCUCAUUGACGUUACCCGCAGAAGAAGCACCGGCUAACUCCGUGCCAGCAGCCGCGGUAAUACGGAGGGUGCAAGCGUUAAUCGGAAUUACUGGGCGUAACGCGCACGCAGGCGGUCUGUCAAGUCGGAUGUGAAAUCCCCGGGCUCAACCUGGGAACUGCAUUCGAAACUGGCAGGCUAGAGUCUUGUAGAGGGGGGUAGAAUUCCAGGUGUAGCGGUGAAAUGCGUAGAGAUCUGGAGGAAUACCGGUGGCGAAGGCGGCCCCCUGGACAACGACUGACGCUCAGGUGCGAAAGCGUGGGGAGCAAACAGG